rnacentral:misc_RNA from 1 species
AACGCAACUUGCGCUUCUGGGUAUCCCUGGAAGCAUGCCCCUUUGAGUAUCGUUUCAACACAAACUCGCCUGCGUGCUUGAGCAAUCGAGCAUGCUGUGCGGAGAAUGAGCGUUUGGUCAUGAAUUUGGCUAAUCGCUUGAAACAUAUCACAAAAUUCAGUAUCAUCCGUUGAGCAUGUCUCACCUGGUUGAUGUUUGAUAAUUGACUUCGGUCAUCUACAUCUCACAUUGACAUCGGGAGGGUAUAUUGGACUUGUGUAUCAAGGAAUUGUAUUAUGUUAUGCUUAAUUGCAUGCAUGAUCUGACUUUGAUCUCAGAUGGAGAAAGAGAACCCGCCGAAUUUAA